AAACCUCUCCACUUUUUUUUUGUUUCUUUUGUGUUCUGUCUCUCUCCCAAACUCCCCUCCUCAAUUCCAUUUGAUUCUCAUCGACCUGGCGACCUCAGUACCUCAAUACUCAGCCGCUCAGGUAGUGGUUGUUUAGCAAUUUUCUGGGAUUCUAAGAAUUGAGAAAAUUGGAGAAGGAGUGGUCAGCGGACUGCGGACUCAGAGUCUCAUCUCAGUCAUCCGAGUCUUUGAUCUUCAAGAAAUCAGCUAAGAAGGCAAGGAGAUGGAUUUUCAAAUGAAUAUCAAUCAGUACUGAUGGAAGAAUGUAUUAUUUUGAGGGUUUUAGAUGAAGCAUCUUUUUGUAAUAUUUUUUGUUGCAAACUUUACACUUGUAUUGAGUAUUUAGCCUCUAUUGUAGGCUCAUCUAAUGAGCUAUCAUUGAUCAUUGUUGGCUAUUUGAUUUUAUAUGGUGAGUUUGUUCAAGUAUAAAUAUAAAACUAAAGCUUGGAGGGCCACAUUUUAAGUUUCGCACAGGGCCUCCGAAAAGUUUGAGACGGCU